GAUGAACGCUGGCGGCGUGCCUAAUACAUGCAAGUCGAGCGAACGGACGAGAAGCUUGCUUCUCUGAUGUUAGCGGCGGACGGGUGAGUAACACGUGGAUAACCUACCUAUAAGACUGGGAUAACUUCGGGAAACCGGAGCUAAUACCGGAUGAUAUUUUGAACCGCAUGGUUCAAAAGUGAAAGACGGUCUUGCUGUCACUUAUAGAUGGAUCCGCGCUGCAUUAGAUAGUUGGUAAGGUAACGGCUUACCAAGGCAACGAUGCAUAGCCGACCUGAGAGGGUGAUCGGCCACCCUGGAACUGAGACACGGUCCAGACUCCUACGGGAGGCAGCAGUAGGGAAUCUUCCGCAAUGGGCGAAAGCCUGACGGAGCAACGCCGCGUGAGUGAUGAAGGUCUUCGGAUCGUAAAACUCUGUUAUUAGGGAAGAACAUAUGUGUAAGUAACUGUGCACAUCUUGACGGUACCUAAUCAGAAAGCCACGGCUAACUACGUG
rnacentral:rRNA from 1 species